AGCGAACGCUGGCGGCAGGCCUAACACAUGCAAGUCGAGCGCCGUAGCAAUACGGAGCGGCAGACGGGAGAGUAACACGUGGGAACGUACCCUUCAGUUCGGAACAACCCAGGGAAACUUGGGCUAAUACCGGAUACGUCCGUAAGGAGAAAGAUUUAUCGCUGAAGGAUCGGCCCGCGUCUGAUUAGCUAGUUGGUGGGGUAACGGCCCACCAAGGCGACGAUCAGUAGCUGGUCUGAGAGGAUGAUCAGCCUCACUGGGACUGAGACACGGCCCAGACGCCUACGGGAGGCAGCAGUGGGGAAUAUUGGACAAUGGGCGCAAGCCUGAUCCAGCCAUGCCGCGUGGAUGAUGAAGGCCCUAGGGUUGUAAAGUCCUUUCGGCGGGGAAGAUAAUGACGGUACCCGCAGAAGAAGCCCCGGCUAACUUCGUGCCAGCCGCCGCAGUAAAAC
rnacentral:rRNA from 1 species